GAAUCUUGCACAACGGGGGCAACCCUGAUGCAGCGACGCCGCGUGCGUGAUGAAGCCCUUCGGGGUGUAAAGCUCUUUCGACGGGAACGAUAAUGACGGUACCCGGAGAAGAAGCUGCGGCUAACUACGUGCCCGCAGCCGCGGUAAUACGUAGGCAGCGAGCGUUGUUCGGAGUUACUGGGCGUAAAGAGGGUGUAGGCGGUUGGCUAAGUCUGGUGUGAAAUCUCCCGGCUUAACUGGGAGGGUGCGCCGGAAACUGGCUGGCUAGAGUGUGGGAGAGGGAAGCGGAAUUCCUGGUGUAGCGGUGAAAUGCGUAGAUAUCAGGAGGAACACCGGUGGUGUAGACGGCUUCCUGGACCACAACUGACGCUGAGACACGAAAGCGUGGGGAGCAAACAGG
rnacentral:rRNA from 1 species